rnacentral:rRNA from 1 species
ACGUGACCUCGAAUCAGGUAGGACUACCCGCUGAACUUAA